GCUGAGGUGUGAUGACGAGGCACUACGGUGCUGAAGUAACAAAUGCCCUGCUUCCAGGAAAAGCCUCUAAGCAUCAGGUAACAUCAAAUCGUACCCCAAACCGACACAGGUGGUCAGGUAGAGAAUACCAAGGCGCUUGAGAGAACUCGGGUGAAGGAACUAGGCAAAAUGGUGCCGUAACUUCGGGAGAAGGCACGCUGGUGUGUAGGUGAAGUCCCUGCGGAUGGAGCUGAGACCAGUCGAAGAUACCAGCUGGCUGCAACUGUUUAUUAAAAACACAGCACUGUGCAAACACGAAAGUGGACGUAUACGGUGUGACGCCUGCCCGGUGCCGGAAGGUUAAUUGAUGGGGUUAUCCGUAAGGAGAAGCUCUUGAUCGAAGCCCCGGUAAACGGCGGCCGUAACUAUAACGGUCCUAAGGUAGCGAAAUUCCUUGUCGGGUAAGUUCCGACCUGCACGAAUGGCGUAAUGAUGGCCAGGCUGUCUCCACCCGAGACUCAGUGAAAUUGAACUCGCUGUGAAGAUGCAGUGUACCCGCGGCAAGACGGAAAGACCCCGUGAACCUUUACUAUAGCUUGACACUGAACAUUGAGCCUUGAUGUGUAGGAUAGGUGGGAGGCUUUGAAGCGUGGACGCCAGUCUGCGUGGAGCCAACCUUGAAAUACCACCCUUUAAUGUUUGAUGUUCUAACGUUGGCCCCUGACCGGGGUUGCGGACAGUGUCUGGUGGGUAGUUUGACUGGGGCGGUCUCCUCCCAAAGCGUAACGGAGGAGCACGAAGGUUAGCUAAUCCUGGUCGGACAUCAGGAGGUUAGUGCAAUGGCAUAAGCUAGCUUGACUGCGAGCGUGACGGCGCGAGCAGGUGCGAAAGCAGGUCAUAGUGAUCCGGUGGUUCUGAAUGGAAGGGCCAUCGCUCAACGGAUAAAAGGUACUCCGGGGAUAACAGGCUGAUACCGCCCAAGAGUUCAUAUCGACGGCGGUGUUUGGCACCUCGAUGUCGGCUCAUCACAUCCUGGGGCUGAAGUAGGUCCCAAGGGUAUGGCUGUUCGCCAUUUAAAGUGGUACGCGAGCUGGGUUUAGAACGUCGUGAGACAGUUCGGUCCCUAUCUGCCGUGGGCGCUGGAGAAUUGAGGGGGGCUGCUCCUAGUACGAGAGGACCGGAGUGGACGCAUCACUGGUGUUCGGGUUGUCAUGCCAAUGGCACUGCCCGGUAGCUAAAUGCGGAAGAGAUAAGUGCUGAAAGCAUCUAAGCACGAAACUUGCCCCGAGAUGAGUUCUCCCUGAGACUUUAAGUCUCCUGAAGGAACGUUAAAGACGAUGACGUUGAUAGGCCGGGUGUGUAAGCGCAGCGAUGCGUUGAGCUAACCGGUACUAAUGAACCGUGAGGCUUAACCUU
rnacentral:rRNA from 1 species